GUAAAUAUUCCAAAGGGAUAGGAUUACCCAAUCCCCGCUUCCUCCAAGCCGCAUGGCCUAUCGCCGGAGAAAUCCGUGCCGCACAGUCAACGCCGCACCGUCGCCGUCGACGGGCGGCCAACAGCCAGCCCGGCCAUGCCUUCGGGUCAGGCAACCGCACGUUGCCAAUGCCGCGCCGGCGCAUAGCCACGCGCUACACCGCCGCACCGCGCCGGGCAGAACCUCCGCUGCGCCAUGGGCCGCCAUGCGACCGGGAGAGCCACGCCAGGAGGUUUGGCUUCCGCCUCGCCUUGCGCGUGGACCGGGCUGCGCACUGAUCACAAGGCCUCGGCCGUGCGCCCGUCGCCUUCGCUGACGCGACGCGGUCGCUGCCGCCACGCUCCGGUGGCGACCAUGCCCGCCGUGCAGCCGUGCUGCGCUGUUGUUGUGGCGUGUGAGGGCGCUCCCGUCCGUUCAGCGAGGCCACCGCUUGGAGCCGCCUCCCCGAGAAGUCCCCGAAGACGGCCGUGGCUCUGUGCCUCGCCUGAAGUACAGAGUAUAUAUACCUCUCGCCGUCACAACAAUUCAGUCACUAGAAGUGGACUCAUCAUGGCAAAGCAGAGCAGCGCAGUACAGAGUAUAUAUACCUCUCGCCGUCACAACAAUUCAGUCACUGGAAGUGGUCUCAAUCACGGCAAAGCAGGCCAGUGCAUUACAGAGUAUAUAUACCUUUCGCAGUUCAGUCACUAGAAAUGGACUCAUCAUGGCAAAGCAGAGCAGUGUAGUACAGAGUAUAUAUACCUCUCGCCGUCACAACAGUUCAGUCACUAGAAGUGAACUCAUCAUGGCAAAGCAGAGCAGUGCAGUACAGAGUAUAUAUACCUCUCGCCGUCACAACAGUCCAGUCACUAGAAAUGGACUCAGCACAGCAAUGCAGUACAGAGUAUAUAUACCUCUCGCCGUCACAACCAGAUAACGGUGGCCAGGUGGGCCUCCCUGACCUGGAUUAUAUGUGUGCCAUUGGAGGAGCUCGUGGUGUGUGUCAUCGGGUCACAAAUGAUCGAUCAAUGCUGCUGUUGCUGUUGCUGGUACACAUAGCUAAGGUGGAACUAUAUUUAUAGGGUCUCGGGUGAGAAUCUGGACGGAAGAGGGCAAAACAGGCGAGGAGUGUAUGUUAUUCCGGUGUGUCCUUGAUCGGUGAGGAGCUUAUAUUGAACACUUAUCCAGAUUUUGGUAUCCAGAACAUCAAACGGUGGUGCUCUCAUAUGAUGGAUCCCUGACUUCAUCAAAACGUGAAUUGUUUGCUCAGUCACAUGGUCUUUGAGAAGAAAGAGGGAGUACUAAACUACAGCCUUCCAUGGCGUCUGGGCACUGUGAUUCUGGGCACUGCGAUCCUAGGGCGGAGCCACUGCUUGACAUAAUCCAUCUCACGGUAUGUCCAAAAAUGCUGCAGUCUGCAUAAAUGACAUGAUAAUGUUAGUACUAAAUUUUAGAAGAACAAUAUGAGAGCAAAUGAUCAGUGAAAAAAUUGUGUAUGUUCAACUGUAGUACCUGUUGAAGGUUCUAAAAUCCACUGAAAAGCCUGAGGUUCGCAGAAACUUAGCGUACCAUAUACUGGUUUCGUAUGGUACUUGAGGAUCAUCUGCAGGAACACCAAAUAAAGAAACCAUUCUUAGUGCUGACAAGGAACUUAACAUGAGUAUUCCCUAAAAAAAGGAACUUAACAUGAGUAUUUAGCAAAACAAUAGCACUGCUAACCGUCUCCAUGCAAGAGCAGGAUUUUUAAAUGAGCGGCUCUCCUGCGAGCAGUCGUCCCUGAGCUCUCCAUCCUGCUCUUCCAGGCCAUGAACAAGACUUCGUGUAUGAGUUUAACAAAUACUACUGCGCACAUGUCAUGAGUAAAUCACUAGUAUUUAUUUUCUUCCAGAAUAUUAAGGAUUCAGACCCUGAGAAGGGAAGCCAGCCGCUAAACCCAGUGACAAAAUCAAGUGUAACUGGGUAUGCUAACCCAUUAGAAAUUCUACCCAUGGCAAAGCAUCCGGCAGAGUAUAGUGCAACGGCAGCACCCAUGUUCAUUAGCAUUAGUUAUUUUUUUACAUAAUAUGAUUGACGAAGAGGGAAAUUUGAUAGAUGUACCAUAUCAGGUGGCUCUGACAACAAAUAAUCCGCGCACUUCUUAGCCCAGUAAUCUAGGCCGUGGAUGUCAUCAUGGCCGUACAAUGAGUCAAUGAAUCGUCCCCCACAUCGAGCCCUGUUCAAUUUCAGACAAAAGGUAGUGAUGAUUUCGUCCCAGAAACAGCCUAGAAAAAACUUGGGAAAAACAAAGCUGCAACAGGCAUCCGCGCUGUGUGUGUAAAGCGGGAAGAGGGGAUCGAUGCAGCGGAACAAGAUGGAUCGAGGAGAGAUGAAAGAAAAGGUUGAGAAAGAAAGCGUAAAGAUGGAGAGAUCGAAGGCAGAAAUCAGGAGGGGAUUCGAGAUAAUUUACCCCCCGCAGCCGCUGCCGCACUCGCAGCUGCCUCCGCAGCACGACAUGGUGAUGAUCUCACUCAACGAAAUACCUCGAGUUCAUCUGCUCUCAGAUCCGCGCUUGUUCUGCUUUGGAAGGGAAGCUUGGUGUGCCCGUGAUUUAUAGAGCGGGGAGAGAGGCUGGCUAUCCACCGUCCACGUCUCGGGCCUACCUCGGCUGGACGCCACUGGUGAGGUGCCAGUCGAUUCUAUACAUCCAAUUAAUCAGCACCGAAGUACCCAAAACAUGCUAGUGCGGCAACCAAUGUGGAUUGUGGUUUUCCAGAUCGGUCAACCAAUGAAUGAUAAUGCAUGUCUGGCCGAGAAAUGGCUAUUUCUAAAGAACCCAUGCACGGUUAAGAGCAGUAGAGCUUUCACGCAGCCUACAUACAUGCAUAUGCAUGUCUUGCUCGUGCUUAUCCAUAUGCGUUGCACGGUUAAGCUCGUGUUUGUGGUGGACCAACCAAGAUGCCUGCUUCCACUGAAGAAAAUUAUUGGAAGAAUCAAUAAAAUUCUUGCACCGAGUCCAGACACGUGUAAUAUUCUAUCCAUAAAUAUCUUCUGGGCAUCCUAGACUGUCUCCUUUGGUUUGACACAGCGGCAGCUAUUUCUCCCCACAAAAACAAAAAUUCGCACGGGCACAAAGCUGUGGAAGCUCGCACCAGCCCAGCCGUGCCAGCUGCCCUAUUGCAUCGCAAUCAACAAAGUAGUUGGAUUCCGUAUGAGGGCACUGUGAGCUUUAAGGUUUAGUUUCUGAAACUUACUCAAUUGAUAAAGUAGGUCAUGCACGCUACUUUUCUUAAAGCACUGUGAGCUUUUAAGGAAACAGUCUAGUAGUUAACACUACUUUAUCAAUGACUAUAGAUGACAUAGCACCUUACUACUCCCUCCGUUCCAAAUUACUCGUCGCAGAAAUAGAUGUAUCUAGAACUAAAAUACAUCUAGAUACAUCCAUACCUGCGGCAAGUAAUUCGGAACGGAGGGAGUAUUAGCCAUGCUCAUAAGGUGCAGUAUACACUCAGCACACGUCAGCAUUGGAUAGAGAAGAGAAGCAUUGUGGCCAUUGAAUUUUGCCGUGUGCAUUUCGCAAGAACAACGCAUUCACCUCUAUCCUUACAGGCAUUUCAACAACUAAACCAUAUGCAAUUGUUGUUGAGCAAUGUGGUGAUUACUGAUCAGAGAUACACCUGGGCUUACAGUUGGAACUCAAAAAGAUUUUAGUGCGAUUAACAUGUACAAGUUUUUAUAGCAGGACAAUGCUGCUUCCCUGCCUUCUUGAAAAUCUGGAGAUGUGUGGCAAUGCCAAGAUAUAGAAUAUUUUUUUGGCUGUUCUUGCAUGACAGAAUUAACACCAGAUGCCUCCAUAGAAAAGUUUUUUGGCUGUUCUUGAUCGGUCAUACCAAGUUUCAGAAGUUAAAACUUUUAAAAACCCGUCAAAAUAUAUUCAAAAUGGAUCUCAUUUGAAAGCACUCGUCACCAGAAACACAAAUAUGAAAACAGAAGUUAAUUUAAACUUUUGGUUUAAAAGAGAUGAAAGGCUGAAAAUCAAAAGCCAAAUGAAAAAGGGGGCUGCAUGCCCCCACACCUGCAUACUACAAAUUCUCUCCCGAAAAAAGGUGAAUGUAAAAAAGACCUUGGUCAUUUCGCUCCUUAAAAAAAACAGACCCGUUUAACUCAUCAUCUAGUAGUCGAAAAGUCUGAGAGGAAAUAUAGUAAGUGGUUAGUAGCCUGUUUACACGACACAUUUGUCCGUGUGGAGAAAAGGGACAUUAAAAAAAAGAGGAGUGAGUUCUCAUGCAAAAGCCCAGCUUUACACAUGCUCCUAGUCAAUCGUAGUACAAAUGUAGAAAAGAAAAAAAUAUUAAGAAAAGUAUUAGUCUAAUAGUUAACGCUACUUUAUCAAUGACUAUAGAUGACAUAGCACCUUACUAUUAGCCAUGCUCAUAAGGUGCAGUUUACACUCAGCACACGUCAGCAUCGGAUAGAGAAGAGACGCAUUAUCGCCAUUGACUUUUGCCAUGUGCAUUUCCCAAGAACAACGCAUUCACCUCUAUCCUUACAGGCAUUUCAACAACUAAACCAGAUGCAAUUGUUGUUGAGCAAUGUGGUGAUUACUGAUCAGAGAGACACCUGGACUUACAGUUGGAACUUUAAAGUUUUUACUGCUAUUAACAUGUACAAGUUCUUAAAGCAGGGCAAUGCUGCUCCCCCUUCUUGAAAAUCUGGAAAUGUGAGGCAAUGCCAAGAUAUAAAAUAUUUUUUUGGCUGCCCUUGCAUGACAGAAUCAACACCAGAUGCCUCCUCCAUAGAAAAGGUUUUGACCUGUCUUAUCAGAAUCGUGCCAUUUGUACUCUAAAUGCGGAUGAGACUGUUUUGGGACUGUCUGUUUGCUUAUGUUUGUUGGGCAUCCCUUGGCCUACACAAGUUUAGGGGUAUCUCAGUCUUGGAUGAGAUUCUCUUGAACACUAAUGCUCUUCCCAGGAAUUUUGGUCUAAUAAUAAUCAUUAUGGGAUGCUGGCAUAUUUGGAUGCAAAGGAGUGGAAGGAUUUUUCAGCAGAUCCAACCCCCAGUGGAGUCUUGGAGACUUCUACUGAAAAAAGACCUCAAUCUGCUCACUCACAAGAUCAAGGCUAGGUAUGUAGCAAGUUUCAAGGCCUGGAUUGCAGCUCACCUCAAUUGAUUAUCUAUGUUUAACUUGAUGUUUCCAAAAAUUGGUGUUGGGUGAACUGUCAUAUGCUCUGUAAUAUUUUGUACCUUUGUUGUUAUUAAUGAAAAUACUGUCGAACGAUUGGUCUA